AUCGGCGAUGAUGAGCUUUUUACAGACCUGUAAUGAUUUUUGCGGAAAUGAUCGCAUAUUAUUGAACAUCUAAGGGGCUGAGCUGUC
rnacentral:snoRNA from 1 species